rnacentral:rRNA from 2 species
GAUUUCUGGCUAGCUAACCUUCCACCGGCCGCGGUUUCGCGUGUCAGUGUGGUUGGUUCUGGCCAUCCUUCCAAGUGCGUUGUUCGGCUCUUCAUUGAGUUCGGACAGCGUUUUGGAUCUUUUACUUUGAAAAAAUUAGAGUGUUUCAAGCAGGCUUUAUGCUAUGAAUACAUUAGCAUGGAAUAAUAAUUUAGGACUUCGGUUCUAUUUUGUUGGUUUCUAGGGCUGAAGUAAUGAUUGAUAGGGACAGUUGGGGGUGCUAGUAUUCAGCGGCCAGAGGUGAAAUUCUCGGAUUCGCUGAAGACUAACUUAUGCGAAAGCAUU